GUGCCCAGCCAACUGCUGCAGGGAUGAUGACCUUGGCUCUGUCCCCUGGUAUGCCCCACCCACAGGCCUUGAAUCCUGAUGACACCCUCUCCCGCUGACAAAGCACAUCCUGUGGGAAUGACUGCUCGAAAGAAAAAGCCCCAGCCCACGAAGGUGGCAGCUAGACUUGCCCAUUCUGGAUGAGUGUGGUAAGAAUGAAGUUGUCUGAGCGGCGCCCCGUAGAAAGGCCUGAAGACAGACAGCACCUUGCUCCUCCAGAAUCAUAAUAUGCACUUGUGCAAAGUGAUCCCUUGGUAUCUCAGCAGAGAUAAUCAUGGGAGCCUGCACCCAUUAUGGAGAUGUCAUUUACCCCUACUCCCCUCCAGUCCCCCUUUUACAGUUGGCAUGCUUGGAACUGAACCAACCCGUGCAGCGGUGAAGACAGAGGGUAUCCAGGGCUCUUGCUGGAAGAAGCUGCAGCACCUGGGGGCUAGCAAUGGGACCAGGAAAAGAAAGAGUCUCUCUGUAUAUAACCCUGGCUGUCCUGGAAUUCUCUAUGUAGACCAGGCUGGCUUCGAACUCCCAUUGCCUCUAGGAAUGUUGGGAUUAAAGGUGUGCACCACAGCCCGCCUCAAGAGCUCACAUCUUGAACCGCAAGGACAAGCAGAGAGUAAACUGGGAACGGCAGAUGUCCUUAAACUCUGAAAGCCGGAGAGUGGCACACUUCCUCGGACAUGGCCACACCUCUAAACCUCCACCAACAACACCGCCAACCGGGGACCAAGUAUCAGAUGCUGGAGAUGAUGGGGCACGUCUCCUUCAAACCACCACAUCACCUGAGAUGGAGUGAGAGUCCUGCCGAGCCCAGGCACCGGGGCUGCAGGGUUAUAACCAUUAGACGGUACUGCCUGCACACACUUGGCUCCGCCUUGAGCAGGACUCCCUGGGGACAAUAUUUCAGCUUCCCCUUGUGUUCAGCCAACGUGUGGCCUUCGGCAAACCUCUGGGGAAUUCGGAGUGAAUGGUCAAAGACGCAAAGGAGUAGCAGUUUGGCUUCUGAGUGGCCUAGAGGCAUCAUGCGGAGGCUCCCCAGAAGCUGUGGAUUUGAAAGACCUGAGGCUGGAUUACGUGGGAGCCUGCAGAGAAGCUUCCAGAAGGACACACCUUCUGGAACCGGUACUGGUUGUUGCCUCUGGGGACGGGGGAGGAGAAUGCAGGGGAGGAAGGCUUACUUUUCUGUUUGAAUGUUUAUAUUAUAUAUUGUAAUGUGCGUAGAUCCUAAUGUGUUAUAAUUAUAAUGAAUUUCCAUGUGCAUGUUUAAUAAAUGGAUGCAGAAAUAAACACUCACCUGGUGAGCUCCCUAAACACGGGCUGCAGCCCCAGCAGGUCUGGGGGUGGCAGGCAACCAGGAUGAGCUCUCCAGGUGAUGCUGUCACAGGUGGCCCUGGACUACACUUGAGGAACAAAAUCACCAGCUGGGUCCUCUUCCUGCCGGCCACUCAGCCAGGCUCAUUUGCAUGAUUUUUGCAUAUAUUUGCAUGACUCCCCUAGUUCCAAAUAAAGCCUGUAUUCUCCUUUA